CAGUAGCCGCGGUAAUACGUAGGUGGCAAGCGUUGUCCGGAAUUAUUGGGCGUAAAGGGCUCGCAGGCGGUUUCUUAAGUCUGAUGUGAAAGCCCCCGGCUCAACCGGGGAGGGUCAUUGGAAACUGGGAAACUUGAGUGCAAAAGAGGAGAGUGGAAUUCCACGUGUAGCGGUGAAAUGCGUAGAGAUGUGGAGGAACACCAGUGGCGAAGGCGACUCUCUGGUCUGUAACUGACGCUGAGGAGCGAAAGCGUGGGGAGCGAACAGGAUUAGAUACCCCGGUAGUCCCUGUCUCUUAUAC
rnacentral:rRNA from 1 species